ACGAAGAGAGUGAAGAAGAUGAAUUUGAGAUGGAUGGAAGCGGUGUUGCCACUGGGAAUCAUUGCAGGGAUGAUCUGUGUUAUGGGAAACGCUCAGUAUUUCAUUCACAAAGCCGCUCAUGGCAGACCUAAGCAUAUCGGCAACGAUAUGUGGGAUGUGGCAAUGGAACGAAGGGAUAAGAAGCUUCUCGAUCAAGCCUCUUCCUCCAAUUAGCAUGGAUGCAUACAGGACGGAGUUGUAAUUGUUAAUUGAAAGAUUUAUGGUUGGAAGUUUGAUGAUUCUGUAGUUUGUUGUAUAGAGUGAACUCUUAUUUUAAUUGUUGGAAUUGUUGUUUUGUUCAUUGUCAUUGUGAAGAAAAUAAGUUGCUCAACCAGAUUUCCAGUGUUCUAAGGAAGCAGAAUGAAUCAUUAGAAUCAAUUUCUCUGUUUUCUUGUAUGCAAUUCAACGUAAGCUUGAUAAAUAUACCUAUGUUUUUAUCACAGUUGCUUUCCCGAUGCUUCAUAUGUUGAAACUUGAAAUAGGGUUGUGAAAGCUUUAUAGUGCUUUGGGAUAUUUGUUGCCAAAUCUUUAAACAUUUUGUGUAUGACUACAAAUUUUGCAAAUUGACAUCAAUGCAUGAUGAAUAAUUACGAAAAGCAGCCAAUAUUCCCAAUCCAUACCGCCACAAAAUAUGAAGAGGAAAUUGCAACGACAAGAUGUUUUGCACACUAAACGCUGUGAAGCAGCUUUUUGUUGGCCAUCGGAACCCCUCUUUCGCCAGUGACGUUACUGUAACGUGGUAUCUUUACUCGAGAAUAAGUUCUUAUUGAGCCCAAGAAGGGCUGAGGCGUCGAACAAUUUCCGUA